CGCCAGACUCCUACGGGAGGCAGCAGUGGGGAAUAUUGCACAAUGGGGGAAACCCUGAUGCAGCGACGCCGCGUGAGCGAUGAAGUAUUUCGGUAUGUAAAGCUCUAUCAGCAGGGAAGAAAAUGACGGUACCUGACUAAGAAGCCCCGGCUAACUACGUGCCAGCAGCCGCGGUAAUACGUAGGGGGCAAGCGUUAUCCGGAUUUACUGGGUGUAAAGGGGGCGCAGACGGCGAUGCAAGCCAGGAGUGAAAGCCCGGGGCCCAACCCCGGGACUGCUCUUGGAACUGCGUGGCUGGAGUGCAGGAGGGGCAGGCGGAAUUCCUGGUGUAGCGGUGAAAUGCGUAGAUAUCAGGAGGAACACCGGUGGCGAAGGCGGCCUGCUGGACUGCAACUGACGUUGAGGCCCGAAAGCGUGGGGAGCAAACAGGAUUAGAUACCCGCGUAC
rnacentral:rRNA from 1 species